UGGGGAAUUUUGCACAAUGGGCGGAAGCCUGAUGCAGCGACGCCGUGUGGGGGAUGAAGGCCUUCGGGUUGUAAACUCCUUUCGUCAGGGACGAAGUUUGUUUGACGGUACCUGGAUAAGAAGCACCGGCUAACUACGUGCCAGCAGCCGCGGUAAUACGUAGGGUGCGAGCGUUGUCCGGAUUUACUGGGCGUAAAGGGCUUGUAGGUGGUGUGUUGCGUCGUCUGUGUAAUCCAGGGGCUUAACUUUUGGUUGGCAGGCGAUACGGGCAUUGCUUGAGUGCUGUAGGGGAGACUGGAAUUCCUGGUGUAGCGGUGAAAUGCGCAGAUAUCAGGAGGAACACCGAUGGCGAAGGCAGGUCUCUGGGCAGUUACUGACGCUGAGGAGCGAGAGCAUGGGUAGCGAACAGG
rnacentral:rRNA from 1 species